CCUACGGGGGGCUGCAGUGGGGAAUAUUGCACAAUGGGGGAAACCCUGAUGCAGUGACGCCGCGUGAGUGAAGAAGUAAUUCGUUACGUAAAGCUCUAUCAGCAGGGAAGAAAUACUGACCUUACGGUCAGCAGACGGUACCUGAGUAAGAAGCCCCGGCUAACUACGUGCCAGCAGCCGCGGUAAUACGUAGGGGGCAAGCGUUAUCCGGAUUUACUGGGUGUAAAGGGAGCGUAGACGGUGCGCCAAGUCUGGAGUGAAAUGCCGCAGCUUAACUGCGGAACUGCUUUGGAAACUGGCGAACUAGAGUGCGGGAGGGGUAAGCGGAAUUCCUAGUGUAGCGGUGAAAUGCGUAGAUAUUAGGAGGAACACCGGUGGCGAAGGCGGCUUACUGGACCGUAACUGACGUUGAGGCUCGAAAGCGUGGCGAGCAAACAGGAUUAGAUACCCGGGUAGUC
rnacentral:rRNA from 1 species